UGGGGAAUCUUGCACAAUGGGCGAAAGCCUGAUGCAGCGACGCCGCGUGCGGGAUGAAGGCCUUCGGGUUGUAAACCGCUUUCAGCAGGGACGAGGCGAAAGUGACGGUACCUGCAGAAGAAGCCCCGGCUAACUACGUGCCAGCAGCCGCGGUAAUACGUAGGGGGCAAGCGUUAUCCGGAUUCAUUGGGCGUAAAGCGCUCGUAGGCGGUCUGUUAGGUCGGGAGUUAAAUCCGGGGGCUCAACCCCCGUUCGCUCCCGAUACCGGCAGACUUGAGUUUGGUAGGGGAAGGUGGAAUUCCUAGUGUAGCGGUGGAAUGCGCAGAUAUUAGGAAGAACACCAGUGGCGAAGGCGGCCUUCUGGGCCAUAACUGACGCUGAGGAGCGAAAGCUAGGGGAGCAAACAGGAUUAGAUACCCUGGUAGUCCUAGCCGUAAACGAUGGACACUAGGUGUGGGGGAAUAUUUCUUCCGUGCCGCAGCUAACGCAUUAAGUGUCCCGCCUGGGGAGUACGGNCGCAAGGCUA
rnacentral:rRNA from 1 species